rnacentral:tRNA from 1 species
GUCUGGUUGGUUCAGUUGGUAGAGCAUGUGACUCUUGAUCAUGUGGUGGUGAGUUCAAAUCCCAUGUUGGGUA